AGUGUGUUAGCUGUUAGAGGCUCCAGCGGUGCAGUGGUUGUAGUUGUCUCGUUUUUGCCAAGAAGAGAAAUAAAGUUCGGCAAGUUCUUCAUCUGCCUCCUCCUUGUUUGGCCGCCAGCAGAGCAGAACCUAUGAGCUUGUUACCAGCAAACGAGCCGAAACAGACACCAGCCUGUUCUGGACUCACCGAGGUGAUGCUGAGGAGGAAAUAGUUUAUUCAGAUGCAGUGACGUCAGCAACGCGUUACUUACUAACGCGACAUCGGACCAGUUUUUUCAGUAACGAGUAAUCUGACGCUUUACUAUGUCAAAUCCAGUAAUCAGUAAAGUUACUUACACAAAUCACUGCGUUUAACGUAGUUAAAAUGGUUCAGGUUAAAUCCCGCUAAAGUGCACCAUCUGCUGGUAAAACGGGGUAUUGCAUUCACCCUAGAAAGAGCGGGGUAUUAUGGGUAAUCCUCAGAGCCAUGAGGAUCACUGUCCAGGUAACGUGUCUCUGCGAUGUGAAAAAGAAAUAUUAUUUAUAAAAUAUGUUUAUGGUUUUCGUUUUUGCAUAUUAUUGAAAUAUGUUUAAUCCAGGUUAUGGUAGUUUUGCUAUUAUAUCGUUUUUGUUGCGUUUUAGAAAUGUUUGUGAGAAAGUGUGGCGGGAAUUUCCCACACGUUAACAUUCUGGCUCCUCCUGGCAGGAGUUUCUUUCAUGCCAGAGACUGACUUUACCUCGGUGCCCAUGUGUGAAAUGCAGAUGGAGAAUUAAAGAAAACAACUGAUGCCAGAUUGAGCUCCUUGUCGUUCAUUUCUGCACCAAGAGAAGCCACCAGAUCCACAUAGG